rnacentral:ncRNA from 1 species
UACCUGGUUGAUCCUGCCAGUAGUCAUAUGCUUGUCUCAAAGAUUACGCCAUGCAAGUCUAAGUACGAGCUCUCGUACAGUGAAACUGCGAAUGGCUCAUUAAAUCAGUUAUGGUUCAUUUGAUCGUACAGUUUACUUGGAUAACUGUGGUAAUUCUAGAGCUAAUACAUGCGAGAAGCGCCGACCUCGCGGGAGGCGUGCAUUUAUCAGACCAAAAACCGGCCGCGUCUUCGGGCGCGUUCGCCUUGGUGACUCUGGAUAACUUUGCGGAUCGCACGGUCUAGCACCGGCGACGGAUCAUUCAAGUGUCUGCCCUAUCAACUUUCGUCGGUACGGUAUUUGCCUACCGAGGUUCUUACGGGUGACGGGGAAUCAGGGUUCGAUUCCGGAGAGGGAGCCUGAGAAACGGCUACCACAUCCAAGGAAGGCAGCAGGCGCGCAAAUUACCCAUUCCCGACGCGGGGAGGUAGUGACGAAAAAUAACAAUGCAGGACUCGUUCGAGGCCCUGUAAUUGGAAUGAGUACACUUUAAAAGCUUUAACGAGUAUCCAUUGGAGGGCAAGUCUGGUGCCAGCAGCCGCGGUAAUUCCAGCUCCAAAAGUAUAUAUUUAAGUUGUUGCGGUUAAAAAGCUCGUAGUUGGAUUUUGGGCGCAGGCGGCCGGUCCGUCGCAAGGCGUGUACUGGACGUCCUGGCCUUCCCUCCGGUUCUCCGCCGGUGCUCUUGACUGAGUGUCGGCGGCGGCCGGA